rnacentral:rRNA from 1 species
AGAGCGAACGCUGGCGGCAGGCCUAACACAUGCAAGUCGAGCGCCCCGCAAGGGGGGCGGCAGACGGGAGAGUAACACGUGGGAACGUACCCUUUGGUUCGGAACAACACAGGGAAACUUGUGCUAAUACCGGAUAAAGCCCUUACGGGGAAAGAUUUAUCGCCAAAGGAUCGGCCCGCGUCUGAUUAGCUUGUUGGUGAGGUAACGGCUCACCAAGGCUACGAUCAGUAGCUGGUCUGAGAGGAUGAUCAGCCUCACUGGGACUGAGACACGGCCCAGACUCCUACGGGAGGCAGCAGUGGGGAAUAUUGGACAAUGGGCGCAAGCCUGAUCCAGCCAUGCCGCGUGGAUGAUGAAGGCCCUAGGGUUGUAAAGUCCUUUCGACGGGGAAGAUAAUGACGGUACCCGUAGAAGAAGCCCCGGCUAACUUCGUGCCAGCAGCCGC